UGAGGCAGGGAAAACUGAAAGGCCUGGGAAUCAAAGCCUCCCCAGCCUCCUCCCAGUUCUCCUUCUGAGACAGGAGGGGACUUUCCUCUGAACUCUCUCAUCUACCUGAAAACUGGAUCCACAGAACAGUUAACUUUGAUCCCACCCUGAGGUUCCACUGAUGGGGAAAGACCAAAUCCUAUCAGCAAGGAAGACUAAAGGCUGGCCUCACCCCAGACAGACUUUGUCCCAGCCGUCUUCUGUCCUUUGGUCCAUUCGAUUUCCAGAGAAAAUUAGAAACCAUUAAUCUUUGGGCCCAUUCCCCUCCCUCUUACAAUCAUCUGUUUCCCCUUUGCCAAGCCACUAUCAGGAAGUUGUGUAAAACUCUGAGUCUUCCAGGGUCUGGAUGUGUUCAGGUGGUAUCCUGGACACAUUGACUUUUCUAUCUUUCUUUGUUAUUGUGUCUGCUGUAGGUUCAUUUCAGCAAGCCUCCAAAGACAGAGAAGGAAUUUUUCUAGGUCCUACCUAGACUUGGGUAAAGAGAAAGAAAAAUCUUGGUUACAUGAAGCUUUACUUUUCAUGAGAGAGAACAAAGGUAACACUUGGAGUUCUAAUUCACUGGUAAAUUAUUUUUGCAAGGGCUCAAAGAUGCCAGACCACAAGCGAGACACACCCCACACCAAUUCAAAUACGGAAGUAUAAAUAAAAUUGGUGUACUGAGACUGGCCAGUAAGUCUAGAGGGGCAGAACACCAGAGCAGCAGGCAGAAGGAACAGCACUCAGGUAGAACAUCUGAGGAAGACUUCCCAACUCAUAGGAGAACCAGAGAGCAUGCCCUGGCUCACUGGGUGAUGCUGCAUUGUCAGAAUCUGCUGUAACGCCAU
rnacentral:lncRNA from 1 species